CGAUAAAGGUGAAAUCAAGUGCCGGCGAGAGCACAGGUGCCUGGCACAGGGUCCGGCACACUGUUGAACGAAUAAAGGAUGGCACGUAAUGAGCAACUUCAGUCACACUGUUGGUAGUCCUCCUCGGUUCCUGGCCUUCACACUUGUCCAAAUGUCUUCUCACACCAAGUGCUUCUAUGUGCGCAAGUCCAUGGAAUCCACGCACUCACUGGCCCCUCUAAGCUUUAUCACC